GAUGAACGCUGGCGGCGUGCCUAAUACAUGCAAGUCGAGCGAACAGAUGAGUAGCUUGCUCCUCUGACGUUAGCGGCGGACGGGUGAGUAACACGUGGAUAACCUACCUAUAAGACUGGGAUAACUUCGUGAAACCGGAGCUAAUACCGGAUAAUAUAUUGAACCGCAUGGUUCAAUAGUGAAAGACGGUUUUGCUGUCACUUAUAGAUGGAUCCGCGCCGCAUUAGCUAGUUGGUAAGGUAACGGCUUACCAAGGCAACGAUGCGUAGCCGACCUGAGAGGGUGAUCGGCCACACUGGAACUGAGACACGGUCCAGACUCCUACGGGAGGCAGCAGUAGGGAAUCUUCCGCAAUGGGCGAAAGCCUGACGGAGCAACGCCGCGUGAGUGAUGAAGGUCUUCGGAUCGUAAAACUCUGUUAUUAGGGAAGAACAAAUGUGUAAGUAACUAUGCACGUCUUGACGGUACCUAAUCAGAAAGCCACGGCUAACUACGUG
rnacentral:rRNA from 1 species